CGGACGGGUGAGUAAAGCCUAGGAAUCUGCCUGGUAGUGGGGACAACGACUCGAAAGGGUCGCUAAUACCGCAUACGUCCUACGGGAGAAAGUGGGGGAUCUUCGGACCUCACGCUAUCAGAUGAGCCUAGGUCGGAUUAGCUAGUAGGUGAGGUAAUGGCUCACCUAGGCGACGAUCCGUAACUGGUCUGAGAGGAUGAUCAGUCACACUGGAACUGAGACACGGUCCAG
rnacentral:rRNA from 1 species